GCUUACGGCCAUACCACCUUAGGCACGCCCGAUCUCGUCUGAUCUCGGAAGCUAAGCAGGGUCGGGCCUGGUUAGUACUUGGAUGGGUGACCGCCUGGGAAUACCUAGGUGCUGUAAGCA
rnacentral:rRNA from 1 species